CAGCAGCCGCGGUAAUACGAAGGGGGCUAGCGUUGCUCGGAAUUACUGGGCGUAAAGGGAGCGUAGGCGGAUCGUUUAGUCAGGGGUGAAAUCCCGGGGCUCAACCUCGGAACUGCCUUUGAUACUGGCGAUCUUGAGUAUGGGAGAGGUGUGUGGAACUCCGAGUGUAGAGGUGAAAUUCGUAGAUAUUCGGAAAAACACCAGUGGCGAAGGCGACUCACUGGCCCAUUACUGACGCUGAGGCGCGAAAGCGUGGGGAGCAAACAGGAUUAGAUACCCGGGUAGUCCCUGUCUCUUAUAC
rnacentral:rRNA from 1 species